UGGGGGAUAUUGCACAAUGGGCGAAAGCCUGAUGCAGCGACGCCGCGUGGGGGAUGAAGGCCUUCGGGUUGUAAACUUCUUUUGCUCUGAACAAGGCAUGCCUUUGGGGUGUGUUGAGUGUAGGGGUUGAUUAGCGCCGGCUAACUACGUGCCAGCAGCCGCGGUAAUACGUAGGGCGCGAGCGUUGUCCGGAAUUAUUGGGCGUAAAGGGCUUGUAGGUGGCUGGUUGCGUCUGUCGUGAAAGCUCAUGGCUUAACUGUGGGUUUGCGGUGGGUACGGGCUGGCUUGAGUGCAGUAGGGGAGGCUGGAAUUCCUGGUGUAGCGGUGGAAUGCGCAGAUAUCAGGAGGAAUACCGGUGGCUAAGGCGGGUCUCUGGGCUGUUACUGACGCUGAGGAGCGAAAGCGUGGGGAUCGAACAGG
rnacentral:rRNA from 1 species